rnacentral:lncRNA from 1 species
CCUCAGUCCAACAUCCUUUUCUCCAUCAGCAACUAGAACGUUGCACUGGACCUCGUUCAGGUGAAGGUGCUGCUGCUUGGAGCCGUGAGGAUCCGCAGCCCCAUCAUGCAGAUAAGGAUGGGCACCCAGCUGGGGAAGAAUUGGAUACAUCUCCCACUGCUUGAAGGAGGCAGCACAGCUUCUGGGGGCAUUCCCAGUGCUGGCACCCCGCUGGUCACCAGGCCUGACUUCUCCCCACCGAUGUCCAUCUAUAUCACCUGGAUCACCAACCACCAGAACCCUUUCUCCUUUGGCAAUGCCAUGCCAGGCCUGACCUUCCACUGGUCUGUCACCAAGCGGGACAUCCUGGAUCUCCAAGGGCAGCAUCACAAG